AGGCAGCUCCUCAGCUGACCUGAGUUCAGGCUGCCUACACUUGGGCUCCCUGUGCUGGAUGAAACAGGCCCACUGACACUCCCACCCUCAGGCCAAGGGGCUCGGUCGGGCCCUGUUUCAAUCCAGGAGAACAAUGAUCAUGUGAAAUCUAGAACACACAGGAGGAAGCAGAGAGGUUAAAGCAGUUGCGGUCUCCAGGUUGGCCUGGAAAAAGCCUGACCUGAACUGCAUUAAAUUCAUUUUAAAAAAGUAACCUAGGACUCCCCUGGUGGUCCAGGGGUUAAGUAUCCACCUUUCAAUGCAGGGGACACGGGUUUGAUCCCUGGUCAGGACACUAAGAUCUCACAUGUCAUAGUGAAAGAUUCCAUAUGACCCAAGUAUCCAGAGUACUGCAGCUGAGACCUGAUGCAGCCAAAAAAAUAUUUAAAAAAAGACUUCUCAAACAUCCAUCAGUACAUGAAUGAAUAAAUGGAUAAUGAUACAUGAACGCCGUGGAACACCAGAGUAAAAAGGAAUGAACUACACAAGAGAACAGGGCGGAACCGCAAAAUCACUGCUGGUGAAGAAGGAAUGCUCUUCUGAAAAAUUCCAGCCUGCUUUGAUGUAAGAGACAUGGGUUCGAUCACUGGGUUGGGAAGAUCUCCUGGAGGAGGGCGUGGCAACACUCCAGUAUUCUUGCCUGGAGAAUCCCAUGGGCAGAGGAGCCUGGCGGGCUACAGUCCAUAAGGUCACAAAGAGUCGGACACGACUGAGCAACUGAGCAUGCACGUUGUUCAUGGGAUCCCCCUUCCCAGUCCUAAGAUAUUGUGGGUGAGCAGAGCCUAGACCACGUGUGAGUCCCCCCACCCUCUGGCACUGUGCACUACAGAUAGGUCAGCUACAAAUUGGCACUAGCCAAGAGCAUUUGCCAGUGACUGAACAAGAGUAGCAAGGGCAUUUGCCAUCUGUUCUUCGGAGGAGAUUGAAUCCUGUGCAGCUGCUGACCUUCAAUACCCCCUGAGGGCGAUUCAGGGUGGAGACUGAGGCACUCUGUGCUGCAGAGAAACUGGUGGAACAGGUCUUUACAUAGUUAGAUAUUUGCAGGAACUGAUGUCA
ensembl:lncRNA